rnacentral:rRNA from 1 species
GUAAUAGCUCACUGGUCGAGUCGGUCCGCGCGGAAGAUGUAACGGGGCUAAACCAUGCACCGAAGCUGCGGCAGCGACACUAUGUGUUGUUGGGUAGGGGAGCGUUCUGUAAGCCGUUGAAGGUGGCCUGUGAGGGUUGCUGGAGGUAUCAGAAGUGCGAAUGCUGACAUGAGUAACGAUAAUGGGUGUGAAAAACACCCACGCCGAAAGACCAAGGUUUCCUGCGCAACGUUAAUCGACGCAGGGUUAGUCGGUCCCUAAGGCGAGGCUGAAAAGCGUAGUCGAUGGAAAACAGGUUAAUAUUCCUGUACUUCUGGUUAUUGCGAUGGAGGGACGGAGAAGGCUAGGCCAGCUUGGCGUUGGUUGUCCAAGUUUAAGGUGGUAGGCUGGAAUCUUAGGUAAAUCCGGGAUUCUAAGGCCGAGAGCUGAUGACGAGUUAU